rnacentral:misc_RNA from 1 species
GCUCGAGUCAAGCUUGAGCCUUAAAAAAAUGUAAUGAGUCGAGCUUGAACUAUUCAAAAGCUCGGCUCAGUUUGUUCACCCUUAAUGAUAGCACUUGUUAAAUUUAAGGUGUUAACGAACGUGUCCAUGGUUCAGACUGCAAGCCUUAGCCCUCUUUUAUGUAUUAUAGGGCAUGUUAUAAAUGCACAUCUUGGGUGAUUGGUCAAGUCUCCAUGUACCUAUCAAUCAUUGUGCUUCAACUUUUUAACUAUUAUUGAUGCAUUUUUUUCCCUACAUAUGUUUGUUUUAUGUUGCAUUUGAGUCCAGUGCCAAUAAAAUUAUGGGUUCUGUUUUCUUUUUAGCAAGCCGACUUCUGUCCUGGCAACUAGCAAGUUUGAGUUUUAAUUAACACAUUUUUUGUUUAACUAUUGGACUCUUGAUUCCUUCCUGGUACUGUAUUUGACCUUUCUGAGGUCAAGACGUAAGUCACAUCUUUCUUGAGAAUUAAGAUUGAUCACAUUUAGUUUGCAUCAAAGCUUAUUCCUUCCGGUUGAGUUCAGCAUUUUUUUGAGCAUAGUUGAUUUUGGUGUCUUGCUGAGUUCUAUAUAGUGGACCUGCAAGGGUGUAAAAACUUUUGAGGAAGUAAUCUCUAAUUUCCAUGAUUAUUUUUGAAAUUCUCUUUUAGAAACCAUAGGGUUCCUUAAAUCACAGGUAUAUGCAGAGAGUCUUGUGAUGGUAAGAUGGCUUCAUGCUUCAACGGGUUAUAAGAACUUCCCCUUAGAUGGUUGUUUACUUUAAGUGCUGUUGCUAAUAUUUAUUUAUUCAUUCAUUCUUGUGGAACAAUGUAAUAUUCAUAAUUAGAUAGUACUCAAAAUUGACAUCUGUAAGUGGUGACUGGUGAAGCCACAGUUGGUCGAUUAAUAUCUUAGUUUUGUUUGCUAAACUGGUUUUGCAGUGCUAAAAGAGGAGUGCAUCG